GUGGCUCGCUUCGGCAGCACAUACAGUAAAACUGGAACGAUAGAGAGAAGAUUUGCAUGGCCCCUGGGCAAGGAUGACAUGCAAAUUCAUGAAGCGUUCCAUAUUUUU
ensembl:snRNA U6 U6 spliceosomal RNA